rnacentral:rRNA from 1 species
UACAGAGGUCCCGAGCGUUGUUCGGAUUUAUUGGGCGUAAAGCGCGUGUAGGCGGCCAGAUAGGUCUGCUGUGAAAACUCGAGGCUCAACCUCGAGCUGUCGGCGGAAACCAUCUGGCUAGAGUCCGGAAGAGGAGAGUGGAAUUCCUGGUGUAGCGGUGAAAUGCGCAGAUAUCAGGAAGAACACCUAUGGCGAAGGCAGCUCUCUGGGACGGUACUGACGCUGAGACGCGAAAGCGUGGGGAGCGAACGGG